ACAGUUGCCUAGAACUAGUCUGUCCAGGGAUUCCAUCCCGCAACUGCCCGCUCGGUUAUUCAGUACGUUACCAACUGAUCCACUACAGGCAGUGAAUUCACGACUUCAGUGAUCUUCGGAACCACGAUUCAAACUGUAUUAGAAGAUUUGACUCAUGAGCUUUGUUGGAGAGAUGUUUGAAUCGUAUGUGACCAGCAAGUAACGGUUCUUUAUUUCAGUCAGUCUCGCAGCGCGAGCUGGUGGAUUUCCGAAAUCUCUGUCAUCUGAUUCGUUCCGGAGGAAGGUGGAAAUUUGCAAAGGUUCAACCGUCAAGAAACGAGAGCGGUUGAGUUCGAAGGCCGUGUGUGCAAUGGCUGUUUCAUCUGGAGGAUUGA